rnacentral:rRNA from 1 species
GGAAUAUUGGACAAUGGGCGCAAGCCUGAUCCAGCCAUGCCGCGUGCAGGAUGACGGUCCUAUGGAUUGUAAACUGCUUUUAUACAGGAAGAAACAGUUCUACGUGUAGAACCUUGACGGUACUGUAAGAAUAAGGAUCGGCUAACUCCGUGCCAGCAGCCGCGGUAAUACGGAGGAUCCAAGCGUUAUCCGGAAUCAUUGGGUUUAAAGGGUCCGUAGGCGGUUUAAUAAGUCAGUGGUGAAAGCCCAUCGCUCAACGGUGGAACGGCCAUUGAUACUGUUAGACUUGAAUUAUUAGGAAGUAACUAGAAUAUGUAGUGUAGCGGUGAAAUGCUUAGAGAUUACAUGGAAUACCAAUUGCGAAGGCAGGUUACUACUAAUUGAUUGACGCUGAUGGACGAAAGCGUGGGUAGCGAACAGGAUUAGAUACCCGUG